GACGAACGCUGGCGGCGUGCUUAACACAUGCAAGUCGAACGGAAAGGCCCUGCUUGUGGGUGAUGCUCGAGUGGCGAACGGGUGAUUAACACGUGAGUGACCUGCCCUGGACGUUGGGAUAACUUCAGGAAACUUGGUCUAAUACCGGAUAGGAGCUCCUGCUGCAGGGUGGUGGUGGGAAAGUUUGGGCGGUUGGGGAUGGAUUCGCGGCUUAUCAGCUUGUUGGUGGGGUAGUGGCUGACCAAGGCUUUGACGGGUAGCCGGCCUGAGAGGGUGACCGGCCACAUUGGGCCUGAGAUACGGACCAGACUCCUACGGGAGGCAGCAGUGGGGAAUAUUGCACAAUGGGCGGAAGCCUGAUGCAGCAACGCCGCGUGCGGGAUGACGGCCUUCGGGUUGUAAACCGCUUUCGCCUGUGACGAAGCGUGAGUGACGGUAAUGGGUAAAGAAGCACCGGCUAACUACGUG
rnacentral:rRNA from 1 species